rnacentral:pre_miRNA from 1 species
UAGGUACUCCCUCCGUCCCAAAAUUCUUGUCUUAGAUCUGUCUAGAUACGGAUGUAUCUAAUACUAAAACAUGACUUGAUACAUCCGUAUUUAGACAAAUUUAAGACAAGAAUUUUGGGACAGAGGGAGUAUCAU